UUGUCUAUUCACUGCAUUCCACAGAUGCAGGGUACGUCAGGUUGAUUGUGGAGAUUUAAUCCACUGCUCCUGAGGCUGCUGGGAGAGAUUUCUCUUUCUCUUCUUUGUUCGCACAGCUCCCGGGGUUCAGCUUUGGAUUUGGCCCCCGCCUGUGCAUGUAGGUCGCCCUCUGGUGUCUGUUCUUCACCCAGACAGGAGGGGGUUAAAGGAGCAGCUGACUGGGGGGCGCUGACUCACUCAGGCUGGGGGGAGGGAGGGAUAUGGAAUGCGGGGCGAGCCUGCGGUGGCAGAGGCCGGCAUGCCAUUGCAACAGCCUGAGGUGUGCCGUGUGUUCUCCUGUGGAAGUUUUCCCUGGAUCACAGGACCCUGGCAGUGGCGGGCUGCACAGUCUCCCGGGAGGGGAGGUGUGGAUAGUGACCUGUGCUUGCACACAGGCUUCUUGGUGGCUGCAGCAGCAGUGUUAGCAUUUCGUGCCCGUCUCUGGUGUCUGCGCUGAUAGCCACGCUCAUGCCUGUGUCUGGAGCUCAUUUAGGCAGUGCUCUGAGUCCCCUCUCCUCGUGCACCCCGAAACGAUGGUGUCUUGCCUCUUAGGCAGGUCCAAACUUUUCUCCGAACUCCCUCCUGGCUAGCUGUGGCGCACUAGCCCCCUUCAGGCUGUGUUCAUGCAGCCAACCCCAGUCCUCUCCCUGCAAUCUGACGUCCAGAGCUCGAGCCUCAGCUCCCAGCCCCCACCCGCCCUGGUGGAUGAGAAGACAAGCCUCUCAGGCUGUCUCUUUACUUUAGGGCAAAAUGAAUCUGGAGUUGCUGUCCAUAAUGAGAGAAUAUAUUUAGCUGGGGAACAUGCAGUUUGGACAAAUGAGCCUCCAGCUUGUGUCCAGUCAGCUUCACCAUCUUAGCGGAGAGGAAGACUCAAACUUAUAAUAAAGACAAUGUCC